GUGCCUACGGGGCGCAGCAGUGGGGGAUAUUGCACAAUGGGGGAAACCCUGAUGCAGCGACGCCGCGUGGGCGAAGAAGUAUUGCGGUAUGUAAAGCCCUCUCAGCAGGGAAGAAGAAAUGACGGUACCUGAGUAAGAAGCACCGGCUAAAUACGUGCCAGAGGCCGCGGUAAUACGUAUGGUGCAAGCGUUAUCCGGAUUUACUGGGUGUAAAGGGAGCGCAGGCGGCACGGCAAGCCUGAUGUGAUAGCCCGCGGCCCAACCGCGGGACUGAAUUGGGAACUACCGGGCUGGAGUGUCG
rnacentral:rRNA from 1 species